rnacentral:rRNA from 1 species
GAUGAACGCUGGCGGCGUGCUUAACACAUGCAAGUCGAACGGUGAAGCAGGAGCUUGCUCUUGUGGACCAGUGGCGAACGGGUGAGUAACACGUGAGCAACCUGCCCCUGACUCUGGGAUAAGCGCUGGAAACGGCGUCUAAUACUGGAUAUGUGAUGUGACCGCAUGGUCUGCAUCUGGAAAGAAUUUCGGUUGGGGAUGGGCUCGCGGCCUAUCAGCUUGUUGGUGAGGUAAUGGCUCACCAAGGCGUCGACGGGUAGCCGGCCUGAGAGGGUGACCGGCCACACUGGGACUGAGACACGGCCCAGACACCUACGGGAGGCAGCAGUGGGGAAUAUUGCACAAUGGGCGGAAGCCUGAUGCAGCAACGCCGCGUGAGGGAUGACGGCCUUCGGGUUGUAAACCUCUUUUAGCAGGGAAGAAGCGAAAGUGACGGUACCUGCAGAAAAAGCACCGGCUAACUACGUGCCAGCCGCCGCAGUAA